AGAACGAACGCUGGCGGCAGGCUUAACACAUGCAAGUCGAACGCUCGUAGCAAUACGGGAGUGGCAGACGGGUGAGUAACGCGUGGGAACAUACCCUCCGGUUCGGAAUAGCUCAGGGAAACUUGGAUUAAUACCGGAUACGGCUGAGAGGCGAAAGAUUUAUCGCCGGAGGAUUGGCCCGCGUUCGAUUAGCUUGUUGGUGAGGUAACGGCUCACCAAGGCGAUGAUCGAUAGCUGGUCUGAGAGGAUGAUCAGCCACAUUGGGACUGAGACACGGCCCAAACUCCUACGGGAGGCAGCAGUGGGGAAUAUUGGACAAUGGGCGCAAGCCUGAUCCAGCCAUGCCGCGUGAGUGAUGACGGCCUUAGGGUUGUAAAGCUCUUUCGCUCGGGACGAUAAUGACGGUACCGAGAUAAGAACGCCCCGGCUAACUUCGUGCCAGCAGCCGC
rnacentral:rRNA from 1 species